rnacentral:rRNA from 1 species
AUUGAACGCUGGCGGCAGGCCUAACACAUGCAAGUCGAACGAGUGGCGGACGGGUGAGUAAUGUCUGGGCAACUGCCUGAUGGAGGGGGAUAACUACUGGAAAAGGUUGCUAAUACCGCAUACCAUCGGAUGUGCCCAGGUGGGAUUAACUAGUAGGUGGGGUAAAGGCUCACCUAGGCGACGAUCCCUAGCUGGUCUGAGAGGGUGACCAGCCACACUGGAACUGAGACACGGGCCAGGCUCCUACGGGAAGCAGCAGGGGGGAAUAUUGCACAAUGGGCGCAAGCCCGAUGCAGCCAUGCCGCGUGUAUGAAGAAGGCCAUCGGGUUGUAAAGUACUUUCAGCGGGGAGGCGUUACCCGCAGAAGAAGCACCGGCUAACUCCGUGCCAGCCGCCGCGGUAAUC